CAGGAGGGCAAGCCUCACAGAGCCCCGGCUCCACCCCGAGCCCGCCCCGCCCUGCCCGGGAUGCUGCGCUCGGCAGAGCUCGGCUACUGUCGACUGCAUUCGGCUGCGUUCACCUCUUCGGCGCAGCUCGGCUCCCUUCGGCCGAACCCGGAGCCGCUCGCUCCGCUCGGCUCGGCUCGGUUGAACCCGGAACCGCUCCGUUCGGCUCGGCUCGGCUCGGCUCGGCUCGGCUCGGCUCGGCUCGGCUCGGCUCGGCUCGGCUCCCUGAGGCCGGCGCCGCCCCACGUUCGGCGCGCUCAGCUCGCUGCUCUGCUGCUGCCGGGGCCGUGCGCCGCCCGGGCGUCCCACGGAACCCGCCACGGAAACUUAGACAAAACAGUUUCUAUGUUAAACCCUUUUUAUCCUAUAAGAAGAAAACUUCUCUGCCUCCUUCGUUUUCUCAUUUUUCUUCUUUGAUUUCAAAAUCUGAGUUUCAAAAACCUACUCAAGUACAAGACUUGGUGCCUUCUGCAAUCUGGAACAGAUCCAGUCUACAUCUGCACCUUUGAGCAGGGAUCUUCUCAGUGCCAUGGAGCUGUGCAUUUCUUAUUCUAGUGCUUCCCUGGAGGAAUGACUGUUUCCAGUUACCCGUGCCCUCACCUGAAGAUCCAGCCCUGCAGACAGGAUUCAACUCAAAUAAAAGAAAGUUUUCAUGCUAAUGGCAAAUUGGGGUGACCCUCCAUUCCUCUGAGUCUUCCCAUGUGAGUCAGCUGUUCCAGUUCUCCUGUAUGGAUCAGAGCAGCUGACAUGGAUGCACAAGAAUAGAGCAGUGCUUCAAAACCACGGUCUGUUGACAGACCCUUGUUAUUAAUGCCUGGCUAAGUCAGAAAAUGCACACAUAUUAAUCCUUGUUUUGCUUUUAUUUGCAAUGGUAAAAAUAUUAAAAGAAAUCAUAAACAUUAGUCUGAGAAAUAUGAUUGCAUGCUGCUCUGUCCUUGCUACCAAAGACCAGGCACUGAAGGAACAUACCACAAACUGUGCCAGUUAUAUUUCUGCUCUGAUAGGCCAGGAACCACCAGGAACAGGCCAGGAACCACCAGGAAUAGGCCAGGAAUGACAGCAAUCUGAUGCAGAGCACAGCUCAGUGCUGUGUGGUAGAUACUGCACCUUUCAUACCUGCAUCAUUUACCUACAUUUUAAAACUCCUAGGACAGGUCAUGAUGUAAAUAUUUCUGUUCAUUCAGAAAAUGUUAUACCCUUGAAAACAGGACAGGAAGUUCCUUCUAUGGAACAUAUCUAGAAAUAACUGCAAUGAUGUUCCCUGCUUGUAUUAUAGCCCUGUCUCUACAAAAGGAACCAACAUUUUCUUUGUAUUUAAGGAGAUAGUUCUGACUACACUGUAAAGCAGCAGUUGAAACAAGGAGGUAGUGAGUUGAUUUCACCAGAACUAGGAAGAAGAGCCACCUCCUUCUAAGAUCCUCAAAAAAAAGAAUUAGGUUUAUUCCAAAAAAUAUUGCAUCCUGAUUGAUCAAGUAAGCAUAAUGUCGGUCUGAGUGCAGCAUCUGCUCUUGUCUUUUUAUGUGCAUAUCAAGGCUUUAGAGAGGGAUAAAAAUAUUAGUUGUGUUGUAGUCUGCGUUUCUAAAGGCAUAUCUAUACAACUGCUACACAAUGAAAAGGGACAAAUAGAAAUUAUUUGUCUGACCAGGGUUCAGAUAAGACCUACUCAGUGUCCUGAACUAGUGUCUGUGAUUUCCUUUUGCUCUGCAGGAGCUCAGGUGUUUGAAGGGAAGGAGUCUGCUUCUACCAUUGCUAUGACUGAGGUGGGACAGGGCGUGGUGGAGGAGUGUGAUGGCUUCUGGAGGAGACAUGGUCCAGCUUUUCCCAAUAUGCAGUAAAUCCACCAACAUAUUCAUAUCUGGGUGGUAAUGGGGUGCCCUGUGAGGUAUCUUUGGAUGGAGAUUUUACAAAUAAGGGCUGUUAUAACAGCAACCAACUUUGUCAGUCUGGAGGAUUUAAUUUUACCGAGUUAUUUAGCCAAAACUGUCUCAGGAAGUCCCUGUGCUACAAAUUGCUGAAAGGUAUGAAAGUACCUAGGAAAGGCAUAUAUUCCCAUGCUUUCUAAAUUUCUGAUAAGACAUAACUUAAGUCCCUGCCUGAGAUACAUGGGAUGAAGCUUUGAGACAAAAUGUUACAGAUGCUUUCAUAUUGGUGGUGAUAGGAAUGGGUUUCUAAGAAGUAGUAAAAUACAUUUGAAGCUAAUAAUUAUUCAACUAAGAAAAGUAGAUCCUAAACAUAGGAUGCACAAGUAUCAAAACAAGUCAUGCACAAGUAUCAAAACCUUUCAUUCCUGUAGUAUGGAGAGAAAGAAGUACCAUUGUACUGGAAAUGCAAGCUGAAGAUAAGGCAAGGCCUUAGGGACAGCAAGUGUGGUCCUGCUGUGACCAGCUGGCCAAACAAAAAUAGUUUUUGACAACCUCAGCUCCCUGGUAGGAUUACUUAAUCAUCAAGAAAAUGUCCAUAUUCUCAUUCCCAAGAGGACUAUUAUUAAACUGAAUUAAAUCAAAGAAAUUGUAUUAAAGGACUUGUGCUUCGGCAUUGCAUAAUUCUCUUUUGCAUCUGAGAUUUCUUGUUCUGUGGUGAAGUUUUCUAAUAGCUGAUAGUUUGAAAGAAAGAUUUAAAAAUAAUUUAGCUUGUUUCUUACAAAGAGAUAAAGUCCUUUUACCUUUAUAGUAGGUCUACUUUUCACUUAAGCUAAAAAAGAUGGUAAGACACCAUCUGCAGCAGCCUUUAUUAGCUGAGAAUCAAAUGUAUGUAGACUUUUCCUGAUAGGAUUUGUAAAUUUCUGUUGAAAGUUAUUUAACUCCAGCAAGGAAUCAAAGGAAAGAUCCAUAGUUUGAUCACCUUGAGCCACUGCCUUUCCCUUAUGGCAUAGCUCCCCCCAAAUCUGCUUAUCCUCAUGGUGGAUGCUUGUUCUCUGGAGAAGAGAAACAGAAGGCUGUUCAGGGUUCUGUUGUCAGCUUCACUUUUUUUCACACAUCUUACUAUAAGAUAGGGCUGAGAGAGCUACAGGGCUACAUAGUGUCCUCCUGAGCACCCUGCAGUGUUUAAACCAUGGCUAAUCGGCUUUUGACUGCUAGAUCCAACUGCAGCCUAAAGGAUCAGUUUAAUUAAAUGGGAGAUUAGCAAGAGUAAGUUUUCCCCUGAGAUUUUAAAAUUCUAUUGUGAUUUUUACACAGUGCAUUCUAAGUCAAUAUAAGCAGCAAUAAUUUAGAUUUUCUGCUUAUUUUUAAAUUCUGUCAGGGACUCAGUAUAGAUCAAAAGUAAAAGUGUAUUUGUAAGCACUGUGUUACUUCUGUAACAACCUUUGUAUUAACUGCUUACUGUUAAACUGUGGAAAUUGGAUUUUGCUUCAUGAAACUUUCAUGCAGUUUUCAUGAAUUUCCUAGGGACUGAUCAACAGAUCUUUCAAUGCAUAUCCAGCUGAUGAGACACAGUCAAGUCUCUUGAGUCCUAAGUCCUAUUUCCUCUCUGAAAAUCCACAGCAUUUAAAAAGAAAUAUUACAAUGCAUUAUGAAAAAUCUAUAACCUCUCUGAAAGAAAUAUGGGCUAGAUACCAAGUGCUUACAUUUUGGUAGUUCUGGAAAGGGAAGGAUAUUGUUUGCAACUCCAUCCCUCCUUGACCCAUGCUGUAUUCGUCUGUCUGUCUCAGACUUGUAAGAAUUGCCAGCCUUGUCAAUAAUUCCAUACUGCAAAACCCUCUUCUGAGUUGUUUGAUAAAAUCCUAAAUUAUCUUGGCACUAUUUAAGGCAAUAUCCACUACAGCUUGCAGCUGGCUUCCCUCUUAAACAUUCUGUCCAGCUUAGUGAAUCCUCUCCAACUCACCAUGCAAAUUCUUGCCACCUGGUUCAAUACUUUUGCUCAGGGGCCCUUUGAUGUGAUGUGUGAUUCCCUCUGUACACUACAAAGGGGUCCCAGUAUCUGCAAGUGUCUGAUACAGCAGAGCUCCCUCUGAGUGCCCAGAAAUACCUGUGAACCGGUCAUCACAGAGGGUUUAACAUCCAGUUCUAUCCCUGUGGGUUGGGAGUUGAAAUGGCAGCUUCUCCAGUCUCUUCCCCCACACUUCCCACUUUGUCCAAGCAGCCUGACAAAAAGUAUUGCAGCAAAUAUGGAAGAGCCUUCUGCACAUGAGAGAUGUGCUGAUCCAGGGUCCUGCUGAGUCAGGUACAGACACCUUUCUGAUGUAUGCAGUAAGCUACCACGUUCUGUAUGGCAGCAAAUCCAACUUGGGGCACCCUGUUCUAACAUUAUUGUAAAGGCAGUGAGGGAUUUUACAGUUUAAAUGAGACUACCUUGAGUAAAAUGAAUAUAAACAUUGUGGCUCAAAGUACAUAGUUGCAAAAGCAUGUGUCAAACUCUAAAUAGUACAAACUGUAUUGAAUUACUAUAAUAUUACAAGACCAAGCAAUUUUUCGUUAGAAAUCUACCUUCAUUUUGUAUUUUUCAUUUGCAUAUAUGGAUAAUUUUCUUGCUUUUUUGCAGUUGAUUUGCCUGCAUUUACUGCAUUGCUUUAAGCUGAUUUGUCUUCCUCUCUUUUUUUGUUCCCCCAAAAGAAAUCACUAAAGAGGUCAAAUCGGUUUCAAAAAAUAGGGGAAAGCAGAGUUUACACAUUAUUUUGUUGAACUGGGUGGGAUAAAAGGGAUUGCUUUUUCAUCUUUCAGUGAUAGAUAAAUAUAAAGUGUACACUUCAGUUGUAUAAACUGCUUUUUGAAAUUAAAAUUGAAAUGCAUUUUAGAGAGCUUGUAUAACUUCUUAUCUAUCACCAGAACAUGAGAAUUUCUAAAUACAUUAAAGAGUGUAUGGCAAUUAGGUUGUUGCUCUUAAAAACCAAUUAUUUCAAAUUACUAACGUUUUUCAACAACAUCUUGUUUCCUCGAUCAAGGUAUUUCUUUGAGAGAAAGCAGAGAAAGUCUUCCUGUAUAAAAUUAGGCUUAUAAUGUUUUAUGUACAUAAUAAAUACAAAACAACGGCUGAGAACUUACCAAUUGCCCUGAUCAAUUUUGGUGCAUUUCACAAAAGGAGAUGCUAUUUUAAAAAACAUUCUUCUCUAAUGCAGGUGAGACCAUAAGUGUAUAAGCUUAGAAACUAUUAGACAAACAGUGUUUCUUUUCUUCAUGGAAACAGGGAGAAAGAUUAAAAGGGUUUUCAUAUUGAGUUUUGUGGUGCUUCAACAUGCCACCACUCACAUUUUGAUAAGGCUCUUGAAGCUUUGUGAAGUUUUUCUUUCUGCUGCUUUUGAGAGUAUCUUUCUAUUAAGAGAUAUUAUGGUUGCCUUGUUUUUCCUGUAAAAUAGAUUCCAUUUUAUU